GAAACAUCUAAGUACCCCGAGGAAAAGAAAUCAACCGAGAUUCCCCCAGUAGCGGCGAGCGAACGGGGAGCAGCCCAGAGCCUGAAUCAGUGUGUGUGUUAGUGGAAGCGUCUGGAAAGGCGCGCGAUACAGGGUGACAGCCCCGUACACAAAAAUGCACAUAUUGUGAGCUCGAUGAGUAGGGCGGGACACGUGGUAUCCUGUCUGAAUAUGGGGGGACCAUCCUCCAAGGCUAAAUACUCCUGACUGACCGAUAGUGAACCAGUACCGUGAGGGAAAGGCGAAAAGAACCCCGGCGAGGGGAGUGAAAAAGAACCUGAAACCGUGUACGUACAAGCAGUGGGAGCCUCUUUUAUGGGGUGACUGCGUACCUUUUGUAUAAUGGGUCAGCGACUUAUAUUCUGUAGCAAGGUUAACCGAAUAGGGGAGCCGAAGGGAAACCGAGUCUUAACUGGGCGUUAAGUUGCAGGGUAUAGACCCGAAACCCGGUGAUCUAGCCAUGGGCAGGUUGAAGGUUGGGUAACACUAACUGGAGGACCGAACCGACUAAUGUUGAAAAAUUAGCGGAUGACUUGUGGCUGGGGGUGAAAGGCCAAUCAAACCGGGAGAUAGCUGGUUCUCCCCGAAAGCUAUUUAGGUAGCGCCUCGUGAAUUCAUCUCCGGGGGUAGAGCACUGUUUCGGCAAGGGGGUCAUCCCGACUUACCAACCCGAUGCAAACUGCGAAUACCGGAGAAUGUUAUCACGGGAGACACACGGCGGGUGCUAACGUCCGUCGUGAAGAGGGAAACAACCCAGACCGCCAGCUAAGGUCCCAAAGUCAUGGUUAAGUGGGAAACGAUGUGGGAAGGCCCAGACAGCCAGGAUGUUGGCUUAGAAGCAGCCAUCAUUUAAAGAAAGCGUAAUAGCUCACUGGUCGAGUCGGCCUGCGCGGAAGAUGUAACGGGGCUAAACCAUG
rnacentral:rRNA from 1 species